rnacentral:sRNA from 1 species
GCCGGGCAUGGGGGCGCGUGCUUGUAAUCUCAGCUACUCGGGAGGCUGAGGCAGGAGAAUGGCUUGAAUCCGGGAGGCGGAGCUUUCAGGGAGCGGAGAUCACUCCAUUACACUCUAGCCUGGGUGACAGAGCGAGACUCCGUCUAAAAAAAAAAAAAAAUUAUACACUGAGGUUGCUAAGAUUACAGUAAGAAUGAAUCUUUUUUUUUUUUUUUUUUGAGAGGGAGUUUCGCUUUUGUUGCCCAGGCUGGAGUGCAGUGGCGUGAUCUCGGCUCACUGCAAGCUCCGCCUCCCGGGUUCACGCCAUUCUCCUGCCUCAG